UUGAAUGACAGGUACAAGGUUGAGGUGAUUGUCUAUGAUGGUACUGGCAAUAUGACUUUGCUCCUUUGGGAUAGGGAAGCAAUUCAACUUUGCGGAAAGAGGGCAGAUCAAAUAAAGGAAGAGGAACCUAUUGGUGAGGUGGAAUACCCCCCACCCUUGAUAACAUGCUAGAUAGAAAGUUUCUCUUUAAGAUUAAUAUAAAGUCAACUAACAUCGAGCAAUAUGACCAAGUUUAUACUGUUAGCAAAGUUUGUGAUGAUGAGGACAUCAUAGAAAAGAACCUCCCAAUAAAAUCAAAUACUAAUUCAUCUGUUAACCUCACUGAUGUUGUGGAAGAGGCUGUUUCAAGCCUCAAGUGCAAGACCCUCGCUAAAAGAGCUCUCAAUUGUGUAAAGUCAAGUACAACAACUAUUAAUGAAAAUGAAGAAG